rnacentral:rRNA from 1 species
CCAAUAGCGUAUAUUAAAGUUGUUGCAGUUAAAAAGCUCGUAGUUGAACUUCGGGAUCAAUGGAUUGGUCAUGCCGAUGGUAUGAACUGGUCAUAUUGGUUCUCACCUUCUAAGGAACCAUGAUGUCAUUUAUUUGAUGUUGUGGGGAAUUAGGACUGUUACCUUGAAAAAAUUAGAGUGUUUAAAGCAGGCUAACGCUUGAAUACAUUAGCAUGGAAUA